rnacentral:misc_RNA from 1 species
AAAUCAUCAACCUCCGUUGAUCUCUGAUCGGUCGGAGGCUUGGACUUUGGAGCGUGCUGGCCUGAGGUCGGCUCCUCUUUAAAUGCAUCAGCGGAAGUCCAUUGACGUCUCCUGUCGGCGUGAUAAUCCUGUUACACCGCCAGGGUCUUGUUGGGGCUCGCUUAUAAUCGUCUUUGGACAACAUCCU